GACGAACGCUGGCGGCGUGCUUAACACAUGCAAGUCGAGCGGUAAGGCCCUUUCGGGGGUACACGAGCGGCGAACGGGUGAGUAACACGUGGGUGACCUGCCCUCAGCUCUGGGAUAAGCCUGGGAAACCGGGUCUAAUACCGGAUAUGACUCCAUGACGCAUGUUGUGGGGUGGAAAGCCUUGUGCGGCUGAGGAUGGGCCCGCGGCCUAUCAGCUUGUUGGUGGGGUGAUGGCCUACCAAGGCGACGACGGGUAGCCGGCCUGAGAGGGCGACCGGCCACACUGGGACUGAGACACGGCCCAGACUCCUACGGGAGGCAGCAGUGGGGAAUCUUGCGCAAUGGCCGCAAGGCUGACGCAGCGACGCCGCGUGUGGGAUGACGGCCUCGGUUGUAAC
rnacentral:rRNA from 1 species